rnacentral:tRNA from 1 species
UCCCUGACAGUCCAGUGGUUAAGACUCUGCAUUUUCAAUGCGGAGGGAGCGGGUUCCAUCCCUGGUUGGGGAA